rnacentral:rRNA from 1 species
AGUGAACGCUGGCGGUAGGCCUAACACAUGCAAGUCGAACGGCAGCACAGUAAGAGCUUGCUCUUACGGGUGGCGAGUGGCGGACGGGUGAGGAAUACAUCGGAAUCUACUUUUUCGUGGGGGAUAACGUAGGGAAACUUACGCUAAUACCGCAUCCGACCUACGGGUGAAAGCAGGGGAUCUUCGGACCUUGCGCGAUUGAAUGCGCCGAUGUCGGAUUAGCUAGUUGGCGGGGUAAAGGCCCACCAAGGCGACGAUCCGUAGCUGGUCUGAGAGGAUGAACAGCCACACUGGAACUGAGACACGGUCCAGACUCCUACGGGAGGCAGCAGUGGGGAAUAUUGGACAAUGGGCGCAAGCCUGAUCCAGCCAUGCCGCGUGGGUGAAGAAGGCCUUCGGGUUGUAAAGCCCUUUUGUUGGGGAAGAAAAGCAGCAGGUUAAUACCCCGCUGUUCUGACGGUACCCAAAGAAUAAGCACCGGCUAACUUCGUG